GGUUAAGCGACUAAGCGUACACGGUGGAUGCCCUGGCAGUCAGAGGCGAUGAAGGGCGUGCUAAUCUGCGAUAAGCGCCGGUAAGGUGAUAUGAACCGUUAUAACCGGCGAUACCCGAAUGGGGAAACCCAGUGUGACUCGUCACACUAUCAUUAACUGAAUCCAUAGGUUAAUGAGGCGAACCGGGGGAACUGAAACAUCUAAGUACCCCGAGGAAAAGAAAUCAACCGAGAUUCCCCCAGUAGCGGCGAGCGAACGGGGAGGAGCCCAGAGCCUGAAUCAGCAUGUGUGUUAGUGGAAGCGUCUGGAAAGGCGCGCGAUACAGGGUGACAGCCCCGUACACAAAAGCGCAUGUGCUGUGAGCUCGAUGAGUAGGGCGGGACACGUGGUAUCCUGUCUGAAUAUGGGGGGACCAUCCUCCAAGGCUAAAUACUCCUGACUGACCGAUAGUGAACCAGUACCGUGAGGGAAAGGCGAAAAGAACCCCGGCGAGGGGAGUGAAAAAGAACCUGAAACCGUGUACGUACAAGCAGUGGGAGCACAGGUUUACCUGUGUGACUGCGUACCUUUUGUAUAAUGGGUCAGCGACUUAUAUUCUGUAGCAAGGUUAACCGUAUAGGGGAGCCGGAGGGAAACCGAGUCUUAACCGGGCGUUAAGUUGCAGGGUAUAGACCCGAAACCCGGUGAUCUAGCCAUGGGCAGGUUGAAGGUUGGGUAACACUAACUGGAGGACCGAACCGACUAAUGUUGAAAAAUUAGCGGAUGACCUGUGGCUGGGGGUGAAAGGCCAAUCAAACCGGGAGAUAGCUGGUUCUCCCCGAAAGCUAUUUAGGUAGCGCCUCGUGAAUUCAUCUCCGGGGGUAGAGCACUGUUUCGGCUAGGGGGCCAUCCCGGCUUACCAACCCGAUGCAAACUGCGAAUACCGGAGAAUGUUAUCACGGGAGACACACGGCGGGUGCUAACGUCCGUCGUGAAGAGGGAAACAACCCAGACCGCCAGCUAAGGUCCCAAAGUCAUGGUUAAGUGGGAAACGAUGUGGGAAGGCCCAGACAGCCAGGAUGUUGGCUUAGAAGCAGCCAUCAUUUAAAGAAAGCGUAAUAGCUCACUGGUCGAGUCGGCCUGCGCGGAAGAUGUAACGGGGCUAAACCAUGCACCGAAGCUGCGGCAGCGANNNNNNNNNNNNNNNNNNNNNNNNNNNNNNNNNNNNNNNNNNNNNNNNNNNNNNNNNNNNNNNNNNNNNNNNNNNNNNNNNNNNNNNNNNNNNNNNNNNNGGAGCUGAAGUCAGUCGAAGAUACCAGCUGGCUGCAACUGUUUAUUAAAAACACAGCACUGUGCAAACACGAAAGUGGACGUAUACGGUGUGACGCCUGCCCGGUGCCGGAAGGUUAAUUGAUGGGGUCAGCGCAAGCGAAGCUCCUGAUCGAAGCCCCGGUAAACGGCGGCCGUAACUAUAACGGUCCUAAGGUAGCGAAAUUCCUUGUCGGGUAAGUUCCGACCUGCACGAAUGGCGUAAUGAUGGCCAGGCUGUCUCCACCCGAGACUCAGUGAAAUUGAACUCGCUGUGAAGAUGCAGUGUACCCGCGGCAAGACGGAAAGACCCCGUGAACCUUUACUAUAGCUUGACACUGAACAUUGAGCCUUGAUGUGUAGGAUAGGUGGGAGGCUUUGAAGUGUGGACGCCAGUCUGCAUGGAGCCGACCUUGAAAUACCACCCUUUAAUGUUUGAUGUUCUAACGUGGACCCGUAAUCCGGGUUGCGGACAGUGUCUGGUGGGUAGUUUGACUGGGGCGGUCUCCUCCUAAAGAGUAACGGAGGAGCACGAAGGUUGGCUAAUCCUGGUCGGACAUCAGGAGGUUAGUGCAAUGGCAUAAGCCAGCUUGACUGCGAGCGUGACGGCGCGAGCAGGUGCGAAAGCAGGUCAUAGUGAUCCGGUGGUUCUGAAUGGAAGGGCCAUCGCUCAACGGAUAAAAGGUACUCCGGGGAUAACAGGCUGAUACCGCCCAAGAGUUCAUAUCGACGGCGGUGUUUGGCACCUCGAUGUCGGCUCAUCACAUCCUGGGGCUGAAGUAGGUCCCAAGGGUAUGGCUGUUCGCCAUUUAAAGUGGUACGCGAGCUGGGUUUAGAACGUCGUGAGACAGUUCGGUCCCUAUCUGCCGUGGGCGCUGGAGAACUGAGGGGGGCUGCUCCUAGUACGAGAGGACCGGAGUGGACGCAUCACUGGUGUUCGGGUUGUCAUGCCAAUGGCACUGCCCGGUAGCUAAAUGCGGAAGAGAUAAGUGCUGAAAGCAUCUAAGCACGAAACUUGCCCCGAGAUGAGUUCUCCCUGAGACUUAGAGUCUCCUGAAGGAACGUUGAAGACGACGACGUUGAUAGGCCGGGUGUGUAAGCGCAGCGAUGCGUUGAGCUAACCGGUACUAAUGAACCGUGAGGCUUAACCUU
rnacentral:rRNA from 1 species